rnacentral:piRNA from 1 species
UNGAAUUCAUGCAUCACUGUGUGAAUCUUGC